rnacentral:lncRNA from 1 species
CGUCCAUCCGGAGUCAGAGGUCUGGGCUGCGAUCCACAGCCACCAUGUGUGCCGGCCUUGGGCGUGCAGCAGGCUCCACCCAGCCUGUUUCUUCGCACACGCAGUAGAGAAACUGUGCGGACUCCCACCCAGGAGUUGAUUCAACAACAGACCAGGAUCAGAGGCUGCAGGUACCAAAACCAAGGAGCGCUUUCCUUUGGGGGUCCCUAUCAGGCACUUGGAGAAGAUGUAGGAAAAGCACUCAGCACAGUAUCAGACCCAGCAGCAUGACUUCUUCCUUCUUAGGAUGCUGGCACCCCUGGAAGAAAUGGACCAAGACGCCAGAUCCUAUCUCUUUCCCCUCUGUUGUGAUGUAAUGGAUUUCUUGCUCCUGGUCCCAGUCACAAAGCCUCGAAAAGCCACCGCCUGAGAUCACGAACCCUGGCCCUUUUUUUGCCAGCAGGAGCGGGAAUUGGCUGCAGCUCCCCUCCCGAAGCUCCUUGCCUACACACCUGGCCACCUGCUCAGGGGCCCCAUCCCAGCAGCUGCACACACUCAUGCCUCUGUGUCCUUCAAACCCUCCCUUCUCUCGUACUCUCUUCGUCCAAACCUGCCUGGAUCCAGGGCCGCCUGUGUAAAUGUUGCACUGUCC